rnacentral:rRNA from 1 species
GACGAACGCUGGCGGCGUGCUUAACACAUGCAAGUCGAACGGAAAGGCCCCUUCGGGGGUCCUCGAGUGGCGAACAGGUGAGUAACACGUGAGUAACCUGCCCUUGACUUCGGGAUAACUUCAGGAAACUGGGGCUAAUACCGGAUAGGAAUCCUUGCUGCAUGGUGGGGGUUGGAAAGCUUCGGCGGUUUUGGAUGGACUCGCGGCUUAUCAGCUUGUUGGUGGGGUAGUGGCUUACCAAGGCUUUGACGGGUAGCCGGCCUGAGAGGGCGACCGGCCACAUUGGGACUGAGAUACGGCCCAGACUCCUACGGGAGGCAGCAGUGGGGAAUAUUGCACAAUGGGCGGAAGCCUGAUGCAGCAACGCCGCGUGCGGGAUGACGGCCUUCGGGUUGUAAACCGCUUUCAGCAGGGGCGAAGCUUGUGGUGACGGUACCUGCAGAAGAAGCACCGGCUAACUACGUG